GAUGAAGAACGUAGCGAAAUGCGAUAAGUAAUGUGAAUUGCAGAAUUCAGUGAAUCAUCGAAUCUUUGAACGCACAUUGCGCCCGCCAGUAUUCUGGCGGGCAUGCCUGUUCGAGCGUCAUUUCAACCAUCAAGCCCCAGGCUUGUGUUGGGGACCUGCGGCUGCCGCAGGCCCUGAAAACCAGUGGCGGGCUCGCUGUCACACCGGGCGUAGUAGAUUUUAUCUCGCUCUGGGCGUGCUGCGGGUUCCGGCCGUUAAAAAACCCUUUUAACCCAAGGUUGACCUCGUAUCAGGUAGGAAUACCCGCUGAACUUAAGCAUAUCAAUAAGCGGAGGA
rnacentral:misc_RNA from 1 species